GGAGGUGGAGCUCAGCAGUAGAGCGUGUGCCUAGCAGGCACAAGGUCCUGGGUUCAAUCCCCAGUACGUCCA
rnacentral:tRNA from 1 species